rnacentral:rRNA from 1 species
GCGGAGGAAAAGAAACUAACAAGGAUUCCCCUAGUAGUUGCGGGCGAAAAGGGAUGAGCCCAGCACUGAAUCCCAAAGGCCUCGCCUUUAGGGAAAUGUAGUGUUUAGGAGUGCCCGUUUAACCCGGGGUCCGUGCACCGCGUUCAAGUCCAUCUUGAACGGGGCCACGGUCCGAAGAAGAUGCCAGGCCCGUAGAUGACCGGUGCCGGCCCCGGGUGGGCCCCUCCUUAGAGUCGGGCUGCUUGAGAGUGCAGCCCUAAGCGGGUGGUAAACUCCAUCCAAGGCUAAAUACAAUCACGAGACCGAUAGAGAACAAGUACCGUGAGGGAAAGUUGAAAAGAACUUUGAAGAGAGAGUUCAAGAGUACGUGAAACCGCUCAGGGGUAAACGGAAAAGACCCGAAGCCCCGAAACGGGAGAUUUAGGUCUUCUUGCAGGGUCCGCGCCCCGACAGGGGGGAUGAUCUUUCACCCGUCCGGCUCGUCCGUGGCGGUGGGUGGGCCGCCCCCCACGGGGUCGCGUUCCUGCGGGAGACCGCACCCUCAGUAGGACGUCGCGACCCGCUCAUCGGCGGUCUAAGGUCCGGAAGAUGGUCUGGCUCGGGGCCUACAGCUCGGUGGCGGUCACUUGUCAGCUCUCCGGCACCGCGGCCGCCGGUCCGGGCGGUAUCGAAAGACUACGGCGCUGGGCCUAUCCACUUGCGAGUGCCGCCGUCUCCCCGCAAGACCGGGCGUUUACCAGGGGGUGCCUUAACGGACACGCCCGGCUAGGCGCUCGCGCCCCUGGCGGGAGAGCACUCCGGCACGGCCCAAUCCGCCAGUCGGCGGCGCUUCACAUUCGGGAACUUAUUCGACCCGUCUUGAAACACGGACCAAGGAGUCUAGCGUGUGCGCGAGUCAUUGGGUGUAAAACCUAAAGGCGCAAUGAAAGUGGCGCUGGGAGGAUGGGCCGCCGUACGAUCACUCGUCGGAGCCCCGCACUCCCGGGGCGUCUCGUUCUCAUCACGAGUGGAGACGCAACAGGAGCGCACACGCUGGUACCCGAAAGAUGGUGAACUAUGCCUGGCCAGGACGAAGCCAGGGGAAACCCUGGUGGAGGUCCGAAGCGAUUCUGACGUGCAAAUCGAUCGUCUGAGCUGGGUAUAGGGGCGAAAGACCAAUCGAACCAUCUAGUAGCUGGUUCCCUCUGAAGUUUCCCUCAGGAUAGCUGGCUCUCGGGAAGAGACGAGUCUCAUCCGGUAGAGCGAAUGAUUAGAGGUGAUGGGGUCGAAACGACUUCAACCUAUUCUCAAACUCCCAAUAGAUGAGAGCCCAGGCUUGCUUAAAAGUGAAGCCGCGGGACUCGGAUCAGAGACGCCAAGUGGGCCAAUUUUGGUAAGCAGAACUGGCGCUGUGGGAUGAACCAAACGCAGAGUUAAGGCGCCUGAUUCGACGCUCACGUGAAACCAUGAAAGGCGUUGGUUGCUUAAGACAGCAGGACGGUGGCCAUGGAAGUCGGAAUCCGCUAAGGAGUGUGUAACAACUCACCUGCCGAAGCAACUAGCCCUGAAAAUGGAUGGCGCUGUAGCGUCGUGCCUAUACUCUGCCGUCAACGGCAAAGCGGGCCGCCCCUCGCGGGGAGUCGCCGUUAAGCCUUGACGAGUAAGAGGGUCGCGGCGGUGUGCGCGGAAGGGUCUGGGCGUGAGCCCGCCUGGAGCCGCCGCCGGUGCAGAUCUUGGUGGUAGUAGCAAAUACUCCAGCGAGGCCCUGGAGGACUGAUGUGGAGAAGGGUUUCUUGUGAACAUCUGUUGCACAAGAGUCAGUCGAUCCUAAGCCCUAGGAGAAAUCCGAAGAGAAUGGUUGCCGUUAAUGUUACUGUGUACCGCAGUCGGCGUAGCUCUGGGGGACCGGCCCCUAGUCUGCGCCGUCGCGAUCUCUGUUGCAGGCACCGUUCGGGCGAAAGGGAAUCCGGUUCCUAUUCCGGAACCCGGCAGCGGAACCGCUCCAAUUCGGGCCCUCACCAGAGGACUCGUCGGGGUGACCCGAAAUGACCCGGAGAAGCCGUAGGGAGGUCCGGGGAGAGUUGUCUCUUCUCUAUAAGCGUUCGAGUUCCCUGAAAGCCUUUUGGAGGGAGAUAGGGUUUGGAACGCGAAGAGCACCGCACUUACGGCGGUGUCCUGAUCUUCCCCUCGGACCUUGAAAAUCCGGGCGAGGGCCACGGGGAACACCGCGCCGGCUCGUACCCAUAUCCGCAGCAGGUCUCCAAGGUGAAUAGCCUCUAGUCGAUAGAAUAAUGUAGGUAAGGGAAGUCGGCAAACCCGAUCUGUAACUUCGGGAUAAGGAUUGGCUCUGAGGAUCGUGGCGCGCCGGGCUUGGUCGGGAAGUGGAGCGGUGCCAACGUGCCGGGCCUGGGCGAGGUGAAAGGCGUUCUACGCCCGGACCCUAGCUCGGUCCCGUGCCUUGGCCACCCACGGAUCUUCCUUGCUGCGAGCCUCCGGCUGUCUAGUUGCCGCGCUCACGCGC